rnacentral:lncRNA from 1 species
CAUACACAAGCUAAUCUUGUGUUUACAGCGGACAGCCCCCCAACAAGGAUACAUGAUGCAUUAUGGACUCUGAACGACUUCGGAGGAGCAGAUGAAACAGACAGAUUUCUACCGUUCUGUAUGAACGGUUUUACCCGAACUCCAAACACCCCGAGAACCGCAGCUUUAACCAGCAGAUACACACCCCCGGGAACCUCAAGCCAAUCGCUACAUAAUCUAGCAUUUACAGCGCAUCACAGUCCACUACUCCGCACAACUUUGGCACAAGUGCAUCGCGCAGAAUCACCCCGGCCCGAGAAGGGCUACUGGACUGAAAACGCACGGAUUCAAGAACAGGCCCUCUAUGGAUACGACUCCAACGAUACAAACUCUGCAGAAUCUGCAAAGCCAGAGGAAAAAAGGCUAGAACCCCCGACUACUCCCCAACACAUCGACAGGACGUGGUCGAGGUGGAAUUCGGCGCUCAGGACACCGGAUGAUUUCAACGCUUUAAAUGACAAUUCUGAGGUAGACGAUUUGUUGCUGAAUGAAGCGGCCAGACAGCUUGAUACAGCCAAUUUUGAGACACGUUCUUCAGAGGUUAUUGAAGCCUGGAGACCGGAUGCUGGAGUGAGUAGUCGUGCUGUACUUCGCUCCGCGGGCCACACAAACGCUUCACACCGCGUGGCCGCUGCCACUCUAACGUGGUGGUCCCAGCGCGCACAACCCACGUGGAGUUCCAGGUCUCCGGCAGCCUCUGGAACUGCCGGUCUGCGGCCAACAAGGCAGAGUUCAUCUCAGCCUAUGCUACCCUCCAGUCCCUCGACUUCUUGGCGCUGACGGAAACAUGGAUUACCACAGAAAACACUGCUACUCCUACUGCGCUCUCCUCGUCUGACCACGUGUUCUCGCAUACCCUGAGAGCAUCUGGUCGGCGGGGUGGUGGCAAUGGAUUCCUCAUCUCUCCCAAGUGGACAUUCUCUCUUUCUCCCCUGACCCAUCUGUCUAUCUCCUCAUUUGAAUUCCAUGCUGUCACAGUCACUAGCCCAUUCAACCUGUUGGGGAUAGGGGGCAGUAUUUGCACGGCUGGAUAAAAACCGUACCCGAUUUAAUCUGGUUACUACUCCUGCCCAGAAACUAGAAUAUGC